rnacentral:rRNA from 1 species
UACGUAGGGUGCGAGCGUUAAUCGGAAUUACUGGGCGUAAAGCGUGCGCAGGCGGUGAGCUGUGUCCGAUGUGAAAGCCCCGGGCUUAACCUGGGAAUGGCAUUGGAAACUGGCUCGCUGGAGUGUGGCAGAGGGGGGUGGAAUUCCGCGUGUAGCAGUGAAAUGCGUAGAGAUGCGGAGGAACACCGAUGGCGAAGGCAGCCCCCUGGGCUAACACUGACGCUCAGGCACGAAAGUGUGGGGAGCAAACAGG